GUGAGGAAUAUUGGUCAAUGGACGGAAGUCUGAACCAGCCAUGCCGCGUGCAGGAAUAAGGUCCUAUGGAUUGUAAACUGCUUUUAUUCGGGAAUAAACCUCUUUACGUGUAGGGAGCUGAAGGUACCGAAGGAAUAAGCACCGGCUAACUCCGUGCCAGCAGCCGCGGUAAUACGGAGGGUGCAAGCGUUAUCCGGAAUCAUUGGGUUGAAAGGGUCCGCAGGCGGGCUAUCAAGUCAGAGGUGAAAUCCCACAGCUUAACUGUGGAACUGACUUUGAAACUGAUGGUGUUGAAUUAAGUGGGCGUUGGCGGAAUAUGACAUGUAGCGGUGAAAUGCAUAGAUAUGUCAUGGAACACCGAAAGCGAAGGCAGCUAACGAUACUUAUAUUGACGCUCAUGGACGAAAGCGUGGGUAGCGAACAGGAUUAGAAACCCUUGUAGUCC
rnacentral:rRNA from 1 species